AGAAGAGAGGAGUUCUUGGACCCAAGUAUGAGCAAUACACAAAAUACCACCUAGAGGGGUGAGACAAUAGAUCGCUACACAAGAGUGUAGAUUAAAGUCAUGGGAAAAAAACACAAACAAAACACAAAAAAUAAAAAAAAAAGACUACCAUAAAAUAAUACUCAAACCGUGCAAAUAUAUUAAACAGAAAGGUCUGUAAUAUCACAUUGACAAUUAUUCAAACCCUUAACUCAGUACUUAGAUGAAGCUCUUUUGGCAGCAUAUACAGCUUGAAAUUUUUUCGGUUAUGAGGCAUCAAGCUUUGCUCAUCUGGAUUUGAGUAGUUUCUGCCAUUCACCUCCGCAGAUCCUCUCAAAGGAAAGUCCUACUUGUCCCUUAAAUAAUCAAAUAGAAUGUGUAUGGGUGCACUUAAAUAGAACGGGUGAAAUUGUGAUGUAAUUGUG